GCUUCUGUAGCAGAAUCGGCACAUGCAUCCGGCUUAAACCCGGAGGUCUGAAGGUUCGAAUCCUUCCAGAAGCA
rnacentral:tRNA from 1 species